GCUCACCAUCCUGCAGGUCAGACGGGAGGACUUUGGGACUCACAUUUGUUCAGUGAGCAAACGGCAUGAGUUCUCUGACUACAGCAUUGAGCUGGCCAGAAUGUCAGAGUCUGUUACUUCAGCACCAACGGGUGGAAUGAAUCAGUCAGGCCUGACCUGGAGACUAAUUAUUCUUCAUGCUUUGGCGUGCUUGUUGGUUUGCACAUAGAAGAGGAAAUUUAUAUAUUUAUAUACAUUAACAGACACAAACCUGUAAAUUUACAUAGAAUCUAAAUCCCACCUGUCCAGCAGAGACCUAAAUAAAAACUUUGCCAAAGGA